CAGGACUGUAGCAUGCCACCAGUCUGUCAAUAAAUGUCAAUGAUCAAACAUAUAUGGAGGACUUCUCUCCCCUGUUGGCAGACUGUAAAUGCUAUGCAUGUGAAAAUUUUACCAAGGCUUACAUAAAUCAUUUACUAAAUACAUCUGAACUUCUGGCAUCAACAUUAUUGAUGAUACAUAAUUUUCACCACUAUUUUCAAUUCUUCAAGACAAUAAGAGAAGCUCUGGCAGAGAACAGAUUUCAAGACUUGCAAAUAUUAAUUGAAAAACAGACUCCAAUAAAGGAAGCAUCUUAAAAUUUA